CAGAUUAAUAAUAAGGGAAAAUAAAAAAACUUAUGUAAAAGAACUUUUUUUUGAACAAAAUAAGUUGACUAAUUUUUGGUUUUUGAGUUUAUUUCUCUGUCAGAAUGAAAAACUUUGAUUCAAUUGGCACAUAACUUCCUCACCACUCUGAACUUCCAAGAAAUGGAAGCGUAUGAAUGAAACCAGUUGAAGUAAUCUCGAAGCAGUGUUAGUUAAGUAUGUUCCAAACUGGAUGACGACAUAAUGAAAGUAAGCAUCAGUAAAUCAGUCGUCCUCUAUUCGCAGUCUCCUGCAACAAAUAUCAUAACUAAACCAUUUUAUUUAGACCAUAACUCGUUCAGAUCCGUAUGCAUGUAUGGAUAAUAAAAAUCCUUACCUUCUCGCUUAAACCCAGGGCUCCAAUUAUAAUCAUUGUUUCCUCGUGUGCCAGUUCACCUACCUUACCAGCCUAUGUUGGACAGAAACACCAUCUCAGUGGAAGAUAGAAAGAAUAAUACUUUCCAUAGUCAAGUAACUUACUAAAUUACUUUUUUUUUUUUUUUUGGUGUAAAACUUACUAAAUUACUUAACAAAUAAGACAGGGGUUGCACCAUCAUAUGUGUUUUUUUUCCUAUCCUAGAUUUGUCUAGGUUGAUCAUAAAAGAGAAACCACCUCAUGGAUGUGAAUUGAGACAGAGCUUUCAACUGAGCUUGCCUAAACAGCUAGUCAUUAUGCCUAUAAUAGCAUCUGAAUCUGAGGCAUAUAAAAAGCAUUGAUAAAAGUAAACACUCACAUUUAUAUAUGCA
rnacentral:lncRNA from 1 species